rnacentral:rRNA from 1 species
UACGGGGGGGCAAGCGUUGUUCGGAAUUACUGGGCGUAAAGGGCUCGUAGGUGGUCAACUAAGUCAUACGUGAAAUCCCUCGGCUUAACCGGGGAACUGCGCCUGAUACUGGUUGACUUGAGUUUGGGAGAGGGACGCGGAAUUCCAGGUGUAGCGGUGAAAUGCGUAGAUAUCUGGAGGAACACCGAUGGCGAAGGCAGCCUUCUGGGCCAACACUGACGCUCAUGCACGAAAGCGUGGGGAGCAAACAGG